rnacentral:lncRNA from 1 species
GAUUUCCGGUUCACCGGAAUCUAUCUCCGGCAUCUGCCGUUCUUUUGCUUUGUAAUAUAUUUUAGUUCCGGCUUUAGUCGGAUUUCGUUUUCCGUUUUGUCGGACCUUUCUCCGGUUUAUCCGGUUCCUCUUUCUACAUGAAUCCAAUGAAUUUCCUCUUGCGAUCCUUUGAUCUCCCCGUCCCACCGUCAGCUUGGCUUGAAUCUUCUAUCGGAGUAAUAUCUUCGCCGUUUAUAUGACUCUGUAGUCGGUGACCUUCCUUAGGUCUUAGGCGGAGCUUCCAAUUAGGAGAUCGGAUUGAGAUGUGAAGAUUUUUCAAGUCUUCUUCAGGCUUCUCUCAGACGGAUCCGGUGGACUUCAUUCCGAUCUGCAAAGGCGAAAAUCUGUAGAAGGAGUGUGGUGGUGAAUGUUGAAGCCGGCGGCGGCGCUGCGUCAUCUCGUGGAUUUGGCCGGCACCGACUGCUCCUUUUUCUCCUUCUUGCGUGUUAACACGUGGUGUUUCACGUGAUACCUUUUAUUCUUAAUCUUUUACUUAAUUUAGUUUAAGAUUAAGCAGUUUUUAUGUUAAUCAAGGUUGUAUAUGUUGGGGAAUGGGCUUCUGUUCACUGCUUUGUACUGCCCAUUGGGCUUCCAUCUUAAUGGAUUUGGCCGACAAAAAAAAAAAAAAAUGUAGAAGAAUUGAGAAUAAAAAGUUUAAUUUGGUUGGUGAACAAAUUCUUCCGAGAAAUGACAGAGUAACUGAGAAG